UACGGAGGGUGCAAGCGUUAUCCGGAUUUACUGGGCUUAAAGGGUGCGUAGGCGGGCAGGUAAGUCAGUGGUGAAAUCUCCAAGCUUAACUUGGAAACUGCCGUUGAUACUAUCUGUCUUGAAUAUUGUGGAGGUGAGCGGAAUAUGUCAUGUAGCGGUGAAAUGCUUAGAUAUGACAUAGAACACCAAUUGCGAAGGCAGCUCACUGCUCAGUCAUUGACGCUGAGGCACGAAAGCGUGGGGAGCAAACAGG
rnacentral:rRNA from 1 species